rnacentral:rRNA from 1 species
AUUGAACGCUGGCGGCAUGCCUUACACAUGCAAGUCGAACGGCAGCACGGGAGCUUGCUCCUGGUGGCGAGUGGCGAACGGGUGAGUAAUACAUCGGAACGUGCCCAGUAGUGGGGGAUGGCCCGGCGAAAGCCGGAUUAAUACCGCAUACGACCUGCGGGUGAAAGCGGGGGACCGUAAGGCCUCGCGCUAUUGGAGCGGCCGAUGUCUAAUUAGCUUGUUGGUGGGGUAAAAGCCCACCAAGGCGACGAUCAGUAGCUGGUCUGAGAGGAAGAUCAGCCACACUGGGACUGAGACACGGCCCAGACUCCUACGGGAGGCAGCAGUGGGGAAUUUUGGACAAUGGGGGCAACCCUGAUCCAGCAAUGCCGCGUGUGCGAAGAAGGCCUUCGGGUUGUAAAGCACUUUUGUCAGGGAGGAAAUCUUUCAGGCUAAUACCCUUGGAAGGAUGACGGUACCUGAAGAAUAAGCACCGGCUAACUACGUGCCAGCCGCCGCUGUAAUAC